AUUGAACGCUGGCGGCAGGCCUAACACAUGCAAGUCGAACGAUUGGCGGACGGGUGAGUAAUUUCUGGGAAACUGCCCGAUGGAGGGGGAUAACUACUGGAAACGGUAGCUAAUACCGCAUACCAUCGGAUGUGCCCAGAUGGGAUUGGCUAGUAGGUGGGGUAACGGCUCACCUAGGCGACGAUCCCUAGCUGGUCUGAGAGGAUGACCGGCCACACUGGAACUGGGACACGAUCCAGACUCCUACGGGAGGCAGCAGUGGGGAAUAUUGCGCAAUGGGGGCAAGCAUGAUGCAGCCAUGCCGCGUGUGUGAAGAAGGCCUUCGGGUUGUAAAGUACUUUCAGCGAGGAGGCGGUACUCGCAGAAGAAGCACCGGCUAACUCCGUGCCAGCAGCCGCGGUAAUAC
rnacentral:rRNA from 1 species